AGUCAGAGGCGAUGAAGGACGUGCUAAUCUGCGAUAAGCGUCGGUAAGGUGAUAUGAACCGUUAUAACCGGCGAUUUCCGAAUGGGGAAACCCAGUGUGUUUCGACACACUAUCAUUAACUGAAUCCAUAGGUUAAUGAGGCGAACCGGGGGAACUGAAACAUCUAAGUACCCCGAGGAAAAGAAAUCAACCGAGAUUCCCCCAGUAGCGGCGAGCGAACGGGGAGCAGCCCAGAGCCUGAAUCAGUGUGUGUGUUAGUGGAAGCGUCUGGAAAGGCGCGCGAUACAGGGUGACAGCCCCGUACACAAAAAUGCACAUGCUGUGAGCUCGAUGAGUAGGGCGGGACACGUGGUAUCCUGUCUGAAUAUGGGGGGACCAUCCUCCAAGGCUAAAUACUCCUGACUGACCGAUAGUGAACCAGUACCGUGAGGGAAAGGCGAAAAGAACCCCGGCGAGGGGAGUGAAAAAGAACCUGAAACCGUGUACGUACAAGCAGUGGGAGCACGCUUAGGCGUGUGACUGCGUACCUUUUGUAUAAUGGGUCAGCGACUUAUAUUCUGUAGCAAGGUUAACCGAAUAGGGGAGCCGAAGGGAAACCGAGUCUUAACUGGGCGUUAAGUUGCAGGGUAUAGACCCGAAACCCGGUGAUCUAGCCAUGGGCAGGUUGAAGGUUGGGUAACACUAACUGGAGGACCGAACCGACUAAUGUUGAAAAAUUAGCGGAUGACUUGUGGCUGGGGGUGAAAGGCCAAUCAAACCGGGAGAUAGCUGGUUCUCCCCGAAAGCUAUUUAGGUAGCGCCUCGUGAAUUCAUCUCCGGGGGUAGAGCACUGUUUCGGCAAGGGGGUCAUCCCGACUUACCAACCCGAUGCAAACUGCGAAUACCGGAGAAUGUUAUCACGGGAGACACACGGCGGGUGCUAACGUCCGUCGUGAAGAGGGAAACAACCCAGACCGCCAGCUAAGGUCCCAAAGUCAUGGUUAAGUGGGAAACGAUGUGGGAAGGCCCAGACAGCCAGGAUGUUGGCUUAGAAGCAGCCAUCAUUUAAAGAAAGCGUAAUAGCUCACUGGUCGAGUCGGCCUGCGCGGAAGAUGUAACGGGGCUAAACCAUGCACCGAAGCUGCGGCAGCGAC
rnacentral:rRNA from 1 species